rnacentral:rRNA from 1 species
GGCUCAGGAUGAACGCUAGCUACAGGCUUAACACAUGCAAGUCGAGGGGCAGCAUGAACUUAGCUUGCUAAGUUUGAUGGCGACCGGCGCACGGGUGAGUAACACGUAUCCAACCUGCCGAUGACUCGGGGAUAGCCUUUCGAAAGAAAGAUUAAUACCCGAUGGCAUAGUUCCUCCGCAUGGUAGAACUAUUAAAGAAUUUCGGUCAUCGAUGGGCAUGCGUCCUAUUAGUUAGUUGGCGGGGUAACAGCCCACCAAGACGAUGAUAGGUAGGGGUUCUGAGAGGAAGGUCCCCCACAUUGGAACUGAGACACGGUCCAAACUCCUACGGGAGGCAGCAGUGAGGAAUAUUGGUCAAUGGACGAGAGUCUGAACCAGCCAAGUCGCGUGAGGGAAGACUGCCCUAUGGGUUGUAAACCUCUUUUAUAAGGGAAGAAUAAGUUCUACGUGUAGAAUGAUGCCUGUACCUUAUGAAUAAGCAUCGGCUAACUCCGUG